rnacentral:rRNA from 1 species
AACGAACGCUGGCGGCGUGCCUAACACAUGCAAGUCGUGCGAGAAAGUUCCUUCGGGAGCGAGUAAAGCGGCGCACGGGUGAGUAACACGUAGGUAACCUGCCCCCCAGUCUGGAACAACUAGAGGAAACUCUAGCUAAUGCCGGAUGAGACCACGAUCCCUUCGGGGGUUGCGGCCAAAGAUGGCCUCUACUUGUAAGCUAUCGCUGAGGGAUGGGCCUGCGGGCCAUUAGCUUGUUGGUGAGGUAACGGCUCACCAAGGCUGUGAUGGCUAGCUGGUCUGAGAGGAUGACCAGCCACACUGGGACUGAGACACGGCCCAGACUCCUACGGGAGCAGCAGUAGGAAUAUUGCGCAAUGGGGGAAACCCUGACGCAGCGACGCCGCGUGAGUGAUGAAGGCCUUCGGGUCGUAAAGCUCUGUUGGCAAGGGAAUAAGAAAGUGAAUGUACCUUGUGAGGAAGGAGUCGGCUAACUUCGUGCCAGCAGCCGCGGUAAUCG